rnacentral:tRNA from 1 species
AGAAAAGUAAGCUAAAUAAAGCUAAUGGGUUCAUACCCCAUAAAUGGAGUUUAUCCCUUCUCUA